GACCGUGUAGCGUAGUGGUUAGCGCGUCUGCUUUACACGCAGAAGGUCGCAGGUUCGAACCCUGCCACAGUCA